rnacentral:rRNA from 1 species
CAACGAGCGAGACCCAAGCCCAMARUUGCCAGGUUAUUUUCCGGNAUGACGGGKACACUGUGGGGACCGCCUCUGCUAAAGMGGAGGAAGGAAUGGGCAACGGUAGGUCAGUAUGCCCCGAAUAUYCCGGGCUACACGCGAGCUACAAUGGKUGGGACAAUGGGUAUCKACCCCGAAAGGGAWGGMAAUUUCCUAAACCCAAUCUUAGUUCGGAUUGAGGGCUGCAACUCGCCCCWCAUGAAGCUGGAAUCCGUAGUAAUCGGNUCAACAGGACACGGGAAANUACC